rnacentral:misc_RNA from 1 species
AAGGUCGUAACCAAGGUCUCCGUUGGUGAACCCAGCGGAGGGAUCAUUACCGAGUUUACAACUCCCAAAUCCCCUUGUGAAUCAUACCCAAGUUGUUUGCCCUUCGGCCGGAUUCAGCCCCAGCUCCCCGGGUUAAAACCGGGAACGGGCCCGCCGAGGACCCCCUUAAAUCUCUGUUUCUAUAUGUAACCUUCCUGAGUAAAAUCCAUAAAGUAAUUCAAAAG